rnacentral:rRNA from 1 species
AUACGAAGGGGGCAAGCGUUGUUCGGAAUUACUGGGCGUAAAGGGCGCGUAGGCGGUCUAUCAAGUCAGGCGUGAAAUUCCCGGGCUCAACCUGGGGGCUGCGCUUGAUACUGAUGGACUUGAAUGCGGGAGAGGAUAGUGGAAUUCCCAGUGUAGAGGUGAAAUUCGUAGAUAUUGGGAAGAACACCAGUGGCGAAGGCGGCUAUCUGGCCCGUGAUUGACGCUGAGGCGCGAAAGCGUGGGGAGC